CCCCUUCUCCCUCCCCCGGCCCGCGCUCCUCCGGCGCUGAGUCUCGCCCCGUUGGUUCGUUUUCCUUCAGCAAACGAGCUGAGGAGAAGGGAAACCACAGCUCCCGCGGGAGGAAUUUGCAAUGCAAACGCAGCCAGGGAUUCCUCCAGCGGUGAUCACCCGCGGGCUCAGCUGCCUGACAAGCCCGGAGGUCCCUGUCCCGCCUGAAGCAGCUUUAGGAACCACCCGCCCUGCAAACUCCGUUUUCUCAGCACCUCUCCUGACCGAGCGUGACAUUUGCAUCUGAAAACUCCCAAUCCCGGCUAAUCACUCACAGCCUCAUCACAGUCCUGGGUGGUUACAUGUUCCCAGGCCUAAAUCUUUUUUGGAAAUGUUUCCAUCUUUCCCAGGUUUGACUCCACUUUUGCUCUUUCCUCCUUGUGCAAGUGGUGUUGCUCAGACACACAAGACCCUAAAUGAAAACAUGUCUGUUACUUCCUCUGAAACAUCAUUAAAAUGUGCUUUUUAUUUCA